rnacentral:rRNA from 1 species
CGAGUUUGAUCCUGGCUCAGAACGAACGUUAGCGGCGCGCCUAACACAUGCAAGUCGAGCGAGAAAGGGCUUCGGCCCCGGUACAGCGGCGCACGGGUGAGUAACACGUAGGUAAUCUACCUCAGAGUGGGGGAUAACCUUCCGAAAGGAGGGCUAAUACCGCAUGAGACCACGUCCACGCGAGUGGAUGGGGUCAAAGCUGGCCUCUUUACAAAAGCUGGCGCUUGGAGAUGAGCCUGCGGCCCAUCAGCUAGUUGGUAGGGUAAUGGCCUACCAAGGCAGAGACGGGUAGCUGGUCUGAGAGGAUGAUCAGCCACACUGGAACUGAGACACGGUCCAGACUCCUACGGGAGGCAGCAGUGGGGAAUCUUGCGCAAUGGGCGAAAGCCUGACGCAGCGACGCCGCGUGAGUGAUGAAGGCCUUCGGGUUGUAAAGCCCUGUCGGGAGGGACGAAUCAAUGACGGUACCUCCCAAGAAAGCACCGGCUAACUCCGUG